rnacentral:rRNA from 1 species
UACGGAAGGCAGCAGUGGGGAAUAUUGCACAAUGGGCGCAAGCCUGAUGCAGCCAUGCCGCGUGUAUGAAGAAGGCCUUCGGGUUGUAAAGUACUUUCAGUCGUGAGGAAGGUGUUAAGGUUAAUAACCUUAGCAAUUGACGUUAGCGACAGAAGAAGCACCGGCUAACUCCGUGCCAGCAGCCGCGGUAAUACGGAGGGUGCGAGCGUUAAUCGGAAUUACUGGGCGUAAGGGGCACGCAGGCGGUUAAUUAAGUUGGAUGUGAAAUCCCCGGGCUUAACCUGGGAAUGGCAUUCAAGACUGGUUAGCUAGAGUCUUGUAGAGGGGGUAGAAUUCCAUGUGUAGCGGUGAAAUGCGUAGAGAUGUGGAGGAAUACCGGUGGCGAAGGCGGCCCCUGGGACAAAGACUGACGCUCAUGUGCGAAAGCGUGGGGAGCAAAC